rnacentral:rRNA from 1 species
AAAUUGAAGAGUUUGAUCAUGGCUCAGAUUGAACGCUGGCGGCAGGCCUAACACAUGCAAGUCGAGCGGUAGCACAGAGAGCUUGCUCUCGGGUGACGAGCGGCGGACGGGUGAGUAAUGUCUGGGAAACUGCCUGAUGGAGGGGGAUAACUACUGGAAACGGUAGCUAAUACCGCAUAACGUCGCAAGACCAAAGUGGGGGACCUUCGGGCCUCAUGCCAUCAGAUGUGCCCAGAUGGGAUUAGCUAGUAGGUGGGGUAACGGCUCACCUAGGCGACGAUCCCUAGCUGGUCUGAGAGGAUGACCAGCCACACUGGAACUGAGACACGGUCCAGACUCCUACGGGAGGCAGCAGUGGGGAAUAUUGCACAAUGGGCGCAAGCCUGAUGCAGCCAUGCCGCGUGUGUGAAGAAGGCCUUCGGGUUGUAAAGCACUUUCAGCGGGGAGGAAGGCGGUAAGGUUAAUAACCUUGUCGAUUGACGUUACCCGCAGAAGAAGCACCGGCUAACUCCGUGCCAGCAGCCGCGGUAAUACGGAGGGUGCAAGCGUUAAUCGGAAUUACUGGGCGUAAAGCGCACGCAGGCGGUCUGUCAAGUCGGAUGUGAAAUCCCCGGGCUCAACCUGGGAACUGCAUUCGAAACUGGCAGGCUAGAGUCUUGUAGAGGGGGGUAGAAUUCCAGGUGUAGCGGUGAAAUGCGUAGAGAUCUGGAGGAAUACCGGUGGCGAAGGCGGCCCCCUGGACAAAGACUGACGCUCAGGUGCGAAAGCGUGGGGAGCAAACAGGAUUAGAUACCCUGGUAGUCCACGCCGUAAACGAUGUCGAUUUGGAGGUUGUGCCCUUGAGGCGUGGCUUCCGGAGCUAACGCGUUAAAUCGACCGCCUGGGGAGUACGGCCGCAAGGUUAAAACUCAAAUGAAUUGACGGGGGCCCGCACAAGCGGUGGAGCAUGUGGUUUAAUUCGAUGCAACGCGAAGAACCUUACCUGGUCUUGACAUCCACAGAACUUAGCAGAGAUGCUUUGGUGCCUUCGGGAACUGUGAGACAGGUGCUGCAUGGCUGUCGUCAGCUCGUGUUGUGAAAUGUUGGGUUAAGUCCCGCAACGAGCGCAACCCUUAUCCUUUGUUGCCAGCGGUUAGGCCGGGAACUCAAAGGAGACUGCCAGUGAUAAACUGGAGGAAGGUGGGGAUGACGUCAAGUCAUCAUGGCCCUUACGACCAGGGCUACACACGUGCUACAAUGGCAUAUACAAAGAGAAGCGACCUCGCGAGAGCAAGCGGACCUCAUAAAGUAUGUCGUAGUCCGGAUUGGAGUCUGCAACUCGACUCCAUGAAGUCGGAAUCGCUAGUAAUCGUAGAUCAGAAUGCUACGGUGAAUACGUUCCCGGGCCUUGUACACACCGCCCGUCACACCAUGGGAGUGGGUUGCAAAAGAAGUAGGUAGCUUAACCUUCGGGAGGGCGCUUACCACUUUGUGAUUCAUGACUGGGGUGAAGUCGUAACAAGGUAACCGUAGGGGAACCUGCGGUUGGAUCACCUCCUUACCUUAAAGAA